UUCCGGGAUUGCUGAAUUGUUGUUGAUUUAUUUGAAAUAUAUUUUGACUGUGAAUAAAAUUGACAAUUUGUUAUUAUCUGAUUGAUAGAACUGUCAACUGUGUUUGACAGUGGACAUUAUUUGAACUACUAGGUUAACCCUACUUUUCUUUUCUGGGUUUUUGAAUUAUUUUCUUGCUGAAAUUGUCAACUGCGUUUGACAUUGAAUAUUUUUUGAGCUACUCAGUUAACCCUACUUUGUUCUUCUGGGUUUAUGAAUUAGUUUUUCUUUCGGAAAUUGUCAACUGUCUGACAUUGAAAAUUUUUUUGAGAAUCAUAAUAAAUUUAAACCAACUUGUUUUCUGAGAGUUUUCUCAUUUUUGAUUUUCUUUGACUGUAUCAAACAAUAAUUCAAACUUCUGUUAUCAACUUGUAAUUUUUCAGCAUUAUUGUCUAUUAGUGUUAUUUUUGUGCGAGGGAUAAGGGAAAAAUAAGGACUGUUACCGGGAAUAGUGAAGUUGGGGAAAGUGUUCGGACUUCAACGAUUAAUAAGAAGAGGACAUUGUCGAAUAACUUCGAUAGAUUUCAAACCGAUUGAGUUUGGACUUAACCUCAACAUGGAUGUGAAUAGAUUAUUGAAUGAUGAGCUGACUUAUGAGUUACAGCUGAGAGGACAAACAAUACCCAGCACAGUAACGCUAAAGAGAAGCCUAUUACGACAGGUAUUGAAAUUAAAUUUGCCUCUACAGCCGACAGGAAUGAACCCGACACUGGACAUGGAAUCCUGUCAGAACAAACUCACCGACUUGCUGGAAACCAUUAAACACUUUGACACUGGGAACACCACAAAUGAAUAUACUCGGAUUUCAACAAGAUUGAUACACAUUCAGAGAAGACUGAAUUUUAUUAUCACUGAAAAUGAAACCGAGUCACAGAUGAUAGAACAAUUAAAGGAGACUGCAGCUCGGGCCUUGAGGUCAUUGGAGGCACUAGUGACUGCAGACAGACCGCAGCCAUCGAAUCAUCCGGAUGGAUCGCUUUUGGAUGUAGAGAUUCCACAGUCGCCGGGGAUGUCUCCCAUACAGCCAACCAAGGUUGCACCACUGGAGACAUCGUUGAUAACAUUGGACGCUGAUGAUCAGCCACUACCACAGGUUCCAAUUCCCCAGGCUGCGACACCUAAAAAUAAAUCAAAAUUAGCACAGGUCCUGAAUGAAACUAGACAGGAAUGUGAAGAUUUACUACAGCAUUUACCAACAAUGCCAGUUUCUCAGCCACAGAGACAGAAUGUGGAACAACAAGAGGGGCCAACUCAUAGUAGGUGGACGAGCUCUAUGAGAAAGGUGUCAUUCCCCCAUCCGACGGAAUCAAUAAUAGAUUUGAACCCCCGACAUGAAACCCAACAGAAGUCAACACCGACUGCAACGGUACCCAUUCAUAAAUGGAAUAUUUAUUUUGAUGGCACUGAUAGCGUAACCGGAUUUAUAGAGGAGAUAGAGAGACUGGCUGAAUCCCGGAAGACAUCCUUAGAACAGGUGUUCGAAUCAAUUUAUGAACUUUUACGAAAGGAUGCCAAGGAUUGGUUCAUUCCCCGGAGGGGACUUUUCAGAAACUGGGAUGAUUUCAAAAAUCAAUUAAAGGAAGCAUUCUUACCAGUCAAUUAUGAAGAGAACCUACUGGAUGAAAUCAAGAAGAGGAUGCAAGGUCCUGAUGAGAAGCUGUUGUUGUAUGUUACCCGGAUGCAAAAUCUGUUCCAGAAAUUGACUUGCAAUCGUCCCACUGAGAGUGAACAGAUUCGACUGAUAAGACAGAGGUUAUUGCCAUCACUGCAACAGGCUUUGGCCUUUCAAGAGACCACCACGUAUGAUGAACUCCUGAAAAAGGGAAAAGUUUUUGAAAUGGUUCAAUGGCAGAUGGGACAUUAUACCAAACCACCGGUUAAACCCAGCCUCAUCGAUGAACCACAUCUAACAUAUCAUCAACGUCGUCAACAGGACUACCCGGCCAACCUCUCUGCAAUUUCGGAGAAUACUAGACAACGAAACCACAGUACUCGUCAGGAAGCUCCCGCUCCAUCUCCGAAGAAAGGCCCGUCAAGACCGCUAACCACAGCCACAAGGAUAGAAGACUGGAAUUGCUCAGUAUCCCCUGGACCAGAUCGUCCCCAUCUGCCCUCGCGGCCACCGGAAUACUCGACCAACAGAACAGGAAAUGCCAACACCUCCCAGGAUCGGAAUGGAUCACCACCGGAGCGAAGAGUGUCCUCCCAGACACAAUGCUUCAGAUGCGGGGGAUAUGGCCACCUACGUCGAGACUGCCGAGGGACACCGAAAAUGUUUUGCUCCCGAUGUCAACGAGAAAAUAUCCUGUCACGAGACUGCCCAUGUCCUCAAAACCGGAGAGGAACGACACCGUCAACUUCAGCGGGACUCCUAACUACAGUAAUUCCUAUCGUUAGCAACGACAGCUGGCCUCUGGUAGAAGUGCACAUUGAGGGAAAGUUAUUCCAUGCAUUGAUAGACACUGGUGCGGCAAAGAGCUGCUGUAGUCAGAGGGUAGCCCAGCUGUGUGAAAGAAAUGGAAUCAAGGGAGAAAAAUCAACGACUGAAGCUGUCAUGGUAGCGAAUGGACAAACUACAGCCAUACCGAAGAUGUAUCACCUUGGAAUGGUGAUAGCCGAUUAUGCCCUGAAGAACAUAGAAUUCUUACUUGUACCCAACUUACCAGUCGACUUAAUCCUGGGAAUAGAGAUGCUGAAGACAUACAACUUCUCCCUGGAUAUCAAGAACACAGAAUGUUAUCUAGAAGGACGACGGAUCCCCAGAGCUAAACAGGUUAGCCAAGAGGUCAUAGAGGUGCAGACUCCCGAAAAACACCUCCAGAACCGAAGAGGAUCCCACAACAGACUUGCUGAGAGCCCGUUGAGAAAUCCAUUGCCGACACUCAACUGUGUCCAACUGAAAGAAACAGGUAUGCAAUGUAAGUGGUACAAAAAUAAGUUUCAGGAAGUAGAGAAAGGACCAGAGCACUGCCCCGAGUAUUCCAUCAUCAAUGGAAGAUUGCACCGACACUUUUGGGAUUCAUCAGAUGUUAGGGAAGCUGGAACAGGCCACCCAUGGAAGCUGUGUAUACCCACCGAACAGAGGAACGAAGUACUGAAAGAAAACCACGACUCGGCCUUGGCUGGACAUCUGGGAAUAGCCAAGACAAUUGCGAGGAUCUCGAGGAAUUAUUACUGGCCAGGUAUGUUUAGGGACAUUGCGAAAUAUGUCCGGAACUGCACUUCGUGCCAAAAGUUUAAAGUACCCCAACAGCAACUGGCAGGAAAGAUGCAACCUCGAAAGAUGGUGGAUGCGCCAUUCAAGGAAGUAUCAACUGAUGUAGUAGGACCUCUACCCCGCUCCAAGAAAGGUAAUUCCUAUAUUGUAGUUAUGCAGGACAGGUUUACCAAGUGGGUGGAAUGUCGACCAGUGAGGAAGGCCAACGCCAAGACUGUCUACAUGGCGUUAUAUGAACAGGUUGUACUGAAGUAUGGAUGUCCAACCACUGUGAUCUCCGACAAUGGGAAACAGUAUGACAGCCGGCUAUUCAGAGAAAACCUCCAGGCUAUGGGUAUCAAUCACCAGUUUACCCCUACGUAUACUCCACAAUGCAAUCCGGUUGAAAGGGCCAACCGAACACUGAAGACAAUGAUUGCUCAAUUCUGCGAGGCAGAUCACCGAAGUUGGGAUGAAAAGGUAGGAGAAUUAACCUUUGCUAUUAAUACUGCUCGACAGGACUCUACAGGAUUCACUCCGGCAUAUCUAAAUUAUGGAAGGGAACUGCGCAUCCCCAAAGCCAUAUAUGCCACGGAACCCAGGAAUCAAGGAUCUGGAGAUCCCAACGAGAACACCGAAGAAAAAGAAGAAAGUUUGACUCACCGUACAGAGCAGAUUCAACACCUACUGGAGGCCUAUGAGUUUGUAAGGACCAACCUAUACAGGGCUUUUAAUCGACAAGCUCAUAACUAUAACCUACGACGUAGAGAGGUUCGUUUCCAGGUAGGCGAUCAAGUGCUUCGUCGUACACAUCACCUAUCAUCCGCCGUUAAUAACUUCGCAUCUAAGUUAGCUCCAAAGUUUGAAGGGCCAUUUCUUGUUGUGAAGGUGAUUUCACCAGUUAUUUAUGACCUGAAAGACCGGUCAGGUAAGAAAGUGAAUCACGUACAUGUCAAAGACCUAAAACCAUUUCAUAACUAGUAAGUUACUUUGUUAAACUCACCGAGAAAAAGUCAGAACUGAGAUAAAAAAAAAAAAAAAAAAAAAAAAAAAAAAAAAAUUGUUACUAACUGGUACCUCCCCGCAUAAACUAGACCUAUUAAUCUGAUUUUAUACUACUGACAUGUUCUUAUUAUUCUGUGAUUUUCUUGUUCAGGCAAAGAGGAUGUCAGAGAGUCUGCAUAGUCGCUGGGCAGAAAUCCGGUGGGGAGAUGAGGUGGUGUACGAGCCACGAAGCUCAUCACCGGAGACAAUACCGGAAGUACCGGUGUUGAGGAGAAGAACGGUGACAGAGGUGAGGAUGUCUAGAGCCCCCCAGAGCUCGGUGUCGUCAGUGCGAGGGAAAAACACCCUAGCAAGAGUGGAGAGGGUGGUGAAACGGACCACUACCCAGUCUACACAAACACCCCCUUUGUGCCAGCUGCGUGCCAAUCAAACCACACCGGCCCCCAAGAGUGUUCGUACAGUCGGUACGACAGGAUCUAAGGUAUAUCUGGAGGUGAGAUCCAACACGUGCUGGAAGUGCGGCAAGACAUGCCCCUCGCGGCAGGAGUGUCGAGGUCCACCACUCCUAUUUUGCAGCAGAUGUGGUUUGAUAGGUACGCAGACCAGGUACUGCGAGUGCGUACCCAGGAAACUGGCCCCACGACCGCCAACAACUAGGUCGGAACAACCAGCCAGGCAUCCAUGUGCAAGAUGCACAGAAAGGGAGGCCAUGCAGCGGAAAAUAAGAUAGAACAAAAAGAAUGAUGAAAAAAAAUAGAAUUGCAAAGAAGAUACCGUUGUUUUUGUUCCAUAAUCCUGUAAAACUGUAUAAAACCAUAUAGGGCCUAACCCAAUAUCUGAUAACAUUAUAUUCAA